CCAGAACAAAAAACAAACAAACAAAAAACUCAACAAAGCAAAGCAACGAUUAGGAACCUAAUUUUGUAGACAACGUGCUUUUUUCCUGUUGCGUCUUUCACGUUCUUUACUCCGCAACUUGCUUUGCGCAAAACACUAGGCGACACGCUUGCUAUGUGGCCUUGGAUCAGAAUCAUCCUGAUCUUAUUACUAUUUUUUUUUCAUCAAAACAGAGAGUAUAGUUUACGAAUUGACCGAGCAAUGGAAUUUCCUUUAUUUAUAGACUAUAACUGGAUCGCCUUGACUGAUUGAACCCGCCCCUCUCCUCCCUCAGAGAAUAUUUAAAGCUAGAUAGGACUUAUACCAGCAAAUGAAAUGUUGGCUGAUUUUUUUCUUGCCUGUUAGAUUUAAGCAAAGUGCGAGUGGCUUACUUCUGGCUACAAAUGUGGCCACGAGAGGUUUGGACAUACCAGCUGUCACUAUUAAGUUCCAAAGGACCUUGAUCUUUACAUUCACUGCAGUGGACGGACAGCUAGAGCGAGCAGGGAAGGUCUGAGUGUCGUUCUUGUUGGCCCAGAAGAAAUGGGAUCAUACAAGAAAAUUAUGAAGACGCUUAAUGGAGGU